rnacentral:piRNA from 1 species
GGAACCAGAAUGUAUCAGACGAUGUGGAGU